rnacentral:rRNA from 1 species
ACUUUUUUUAAUACUUCUCUUUGCAAGCCUGUUCUCGUUUGAUUACAAAAACUAAAUGAGAUCAGGCUGGGUUAGUGGAUGAAUGGGAGACCACCUUGGAUUAGCAGGUGGUCUAAGCG